rfam:Pristionchus pacificus strain PS312 contig8726, whole genome shotgun sequence.
GGUCCUGUGGCCUAAUGGAUAAGGCGUCGGUCUCCUAAACCGAAGACUGCAGGUUCGAGUCCUGCCAGGAUCG